GCUCCCCCUAGACACUUGGCUCCCCCUAGACAGUGCACAGCCGAGAGCAGCGAGCUAUUCGUGAACUGCCUCGAGGCCAUGGUGGAGACCUGCCUGCCCGGCGACGAGCCGCUCGUGCGCCCGCCGCCGCCCGACCCCGACCCCAAGGACGACCCGCACCGGCUCGCUGGUGUGCACCGCCAGCCGACCAUCUACUGUUCCGGUCAAGACACUUAGAGCAAGGAAUCCUUAAAAGAUACAAAGGUAUGACGCCCCUCCAGUCACCAUAAGAAGUGGAAUAGCUGUAUACGACGCUGUUUCGAACCAAAUUCAUCCUCAUCUUCUUCAUAAGAAAACUGGGGCGUGGCCGAUGUAUCUAACAACCUAUUUUGAACCCUAUUAUUAACAGCAUAGCGUUGCUGUCAGUUCAAAAUGACGUAUAUGUCAAAUACUUUAAAAAAUAUACAGUUUUUUGUGUCUCCUGAAAACCUACUGGUAUAACAUACAUCCUUUUGAACUGACAGCGACGAUAGAUCAUAAAUUAUUCCUCAUCUCUUCAUAAGAAAACUGGGGGCGUGGCCGAUGUAUCUAACAGCCUAUUUUCAACCCUGUCACCCAAAGCAUAGAUCACAAUUCGGGGUGACACUGUAGCUUAUUUGUUGUUACGUUAUAAAUGUUUAAAUGUCUUAUGCACGUAGAAUUAUAACGCCUAGAAACCGAGUAAGCGCUAGAAAAGUGAGGCACGAGACCACUGCUUUAGUUUUUCCCAUGCGUUCUGACAGUUGACUAAGUCAACUAGUGAAAACGUAUGUUUAGAUGACCUACAUUGACUUGUCUCACCAAACUCAUUGACAGGGGGGCGCUACCAUCGUUCAACUAUAUGGUUUCCAACAUGGCAAAAUCGGAACCAGCGAUCCGGUAUUGACGGUGGCGCCCCACUGUCAAUGUCAUGGAUAGGACAGUUCAGUAUUUUGGAACUAUAAGAUAACUUGGUGACUUAUGAUUUUUGCCUCACUUUAGACGAAGCGCUCGUAUGAAAACUCCAUAUAGGUGUUAUUUAACUAAGAUUAUGCACUUAUAUGUUAUAUGUGUAGUCAAAAUGGCUCUAAUUGUAAACGUAGGUUCCGUAGGACACUUUAGACUCUGUCUAUGAUAAUGAGAAAGGUCAUAGAUCAUAGACAAUUUGCUUUAACAGUUGCACCGCGAUGAAAUGACAAUCAUAGACUACCAAAAAGAAGAUAUUUGCCACCGUAUUUUGAACCAUAGCAAGAUAUGUUAAGGUUCAUUAAUUUAACAUUUUACCUA